UCCGCCUUGGUGUAAUCGGCAGCACAGGGGUUUUUGGUGCCCUUGGUCCAGGUUCGAGUCCUGGGGGCGGAGCGA
rnacentral:tRNA from 1 species